CUCAGCCUCCCGAGUAGCUGGGACUACAGGCGCCCGCCAUCACGCCCGGCUGCUUUUUUUGUUUUAGUAGAGAGGAGGUUUCACCGUGUUAGCCAGGAUGGUCUCAAUCUCCUGACCUCGUGAUCCGCCCGCCUCGGCCUCUCAAAGUGCUGGGAUUACACGCGUGAGCCACCGCGCCUGGCCUGAAGAAAGAAGUCAUUAAAGAAGCAACCCAUGGCAAAACUAGUUAUUUUCUUAAAACAGUAGGAAGAAGAAAAGCUUUUUGAAUGAAUCACUUCUCAUCUUCUCCGAAGUUGGAAGCAUCAAGAAUCUAAAUAAGCAUUUAUGAUGGCUGGCAUGAAUAUGUAACUUUCAAUCAUGGUCCCAAUUUAGUCAAUUCUGCUACAGCACAUGCCCAGGAAAGAUGAUGGAUCUUCAUUAAUUUAAAUGAAUCAUAGGCGGAAGAUAGAAUGGGAGUCCUAGUUGACCUUCAUAUAAUUUUUAGAAGAUGGAGCACUUCAACUUCUUCCACUCAUGAAAAGAGAGGUGACAGGUGAAGACAGAACAAGAAAACAAACCAAGAAUUUCCCCUCACCAGCCACCAGCUCUGCCAGCAACUUGAUCUUAGACUUCCCAGCCUCCGUAACGCCUCUGCUUAUAAUCUGUCAUGGAUUGGAAAACUAGAAAAAACAGUUUACAGAGUAUAACAAACUUUGGAGGAGUUAAUCGACUCUAAGUAAAAGAGUAUCUAGCACGGCUGUGGAACAAAGGAGAGACUCACAAACUGUUGAAAGAAUAAAUGAAUGAAUGAAUUCUGUUCAUGAGCUUUAAUAAAACAGCUCUGAGUAGUAACAGUGGAUCAAAUUUAGGCUUCUUGAUGCAGGCAUGGUGUAGAUUACUACUUCUGUAUUGUCCCAGGAGCUCAGCACAUUCCUGCAGAGAUGAUAGGAGCUCAUCUGAUACUUGUCAGCUUUGAAUAAACUCCAGUCCCCAAGAGAGAGAAUGAGAAUCACCGGAAUACGAAACUUCCCUGUUGGACUUCCCAACAUUCUUGAAUGCACCAAGAUAGCCUCUUGCUGUGAGAUUAAUAAAUGAAUAAAUGCCUCCAUAUUUUUCAAA
rnacentral:lncRNA from 1 species